rnacentral:rRNA from 1 species
UACGGAGGGUGCGAGCGUUGUCCGGAAUCACUGGGCGUAAAGGGCGCGUAGGUGGCGCGGGCAGUCAACGGUGAAAGUUCGGGGCUCAACCCUGAAUCGGCCGUCGAUACUCCCGGGCUUGAGCACUGUAGAGGCAGAUGGAAUUCCGGGUGUAGCGGUGGAAUGCGUAGAGAUCCGGAGGAACACCGGUGGCGAAGGCGGUCUGCUGGGCAGUAGCUGACACUGAGGCGCGACAGCGUGGGGAGCAAACAGG